UAAAAACAUUGCUAGAUCAAAUUGGAGCCUGUGCAGCUUUCUGGUUCACCAGCCUGCAGUCAAACCAUCCAAACCAUGCCAGCAUGGAAAG